rnacentral:rRNA from 1 species
CGAUGAACCACUUCGGUGGGGAUUAGUGGCGAACGGGUGAGUAACACGUGGGCAAUCUGCCCUGCACUCUGGGACAAGCCCUGGAAACGGGGUCUAAUACCGGAUACGAGUUUCACAGGCAUCUGUGAUUCUGGAAAGCUCCGGCGGUGCAGGAUGAGCCCGCGGCCUAUCAGCUUGUUGGUGAGGUAACGGCUCACCAAGGCGACGACGGGUAGCCGGCCUGAGAGGGCGACCGGCCACACUGGGACUGAGACACGGCCCAGACUCCUACGGGAGGCAGCAGUGGGGAAUAUUGCACAAUGGGCGCAAGCCUGAUGCAGCGACGCCGCGUGAGGGAUGACGGCCUUCGGGUUGUAAACCUCUUUCAGCAGGGAAGAAGCGAGAGUGACGGUACCUGCAGAAGAAGCGCCGGCUAACUACGUGCCAGCAGCCGCGGUAAUACGUAGGGCGCAAGCGUUGUCCGGAAUUAUUGGGCGUAAAGAGCUCGUAGGCGGCUUGUCGCGUCGGAUGUGAAAGCCCGGGGCUUAACCCCGGGUCUGCAUUCGAUACGGGCAGGCUAGAGUUCGGUAGGGGAGAUCGGAAUUCCUGGUGUAGCGGUGAAAUGCGCAGAUAUCAGGAGGAACACCGGUGGCGAAGGCGGAUCUCUGGGCCGAUACUGACGCUGAGGAGCGAAAGCGUGGGGAGCGAACAGGAUUAGAUACCCUGG